GAUGAACGCUGGCGGCGUGCCUAACACAUGCAAGUCGAGCGAACCCUUCGGGGUGAGCGGCGGACGGGUGAGUAACGCGUGGGUAACCUGCCCUGUACACACGGAUAACAUACCGAAAGGUAUGCUAAUACGAGAUAAUAUGUAAUGAUCGCAUGGUCGAUACAUCAAAGCUCCGGCGGUACAGGAUGGACCCGCGUCUGAUUAGCUAGUUGGUGAGGUAAUGGCUCACCAAGGCGACGAUCAGUAGCCGACCUGAGAGGGUGAUCGGCCACAUUGGAACUGAGACACGGUCCAAACUCCUACGGGAGGCAGCAGUGGGGAAUAUUGCACAAUGGGCGAAAGCCUGAUGCAGCAACGCCGCGUGAGCGAUGAAGGCCUUCGGGUCGUAAAGCUCUGUCCUCAAGGAAGAUAAUGACGGUACUUGAGGAGGAAGCCCCGGCUAACUACGUGCCAGCCGCCGCAGUAACAC
rnacentral:rRNA from 1 species